rnacentral:rRNA from 1 species
UACCAGCACCCCCGAGUGGUCGGGACGUUUAUUGGGCCUAAAGCAUCCGUAGCCGGUUCUACAAGUCUUCCGUUAAAUCCAACUGCUUAACAGGUGGGCUGCGGAAGAUACUAUAGAGCUAGGAGGCGGGAGAGGCAAGCGGUACUCGAUGGGUAGGGGUAAAAUCCGUUGAUCCAUUGAAGACCACCAGUGGCGAAGGCGGCUUGCCAGAAUGCGCUCGACGGUGAGGGAUGAAAGCUGGGGGAGCAAACCGG